rnacentral:lncRNA from 1 species
UAGCUUUGAAAACAUGCGAACUCCUUUUGCAACAUCUAUGAAUGCUAGCUUCUGAGGUGUGGUAACAAUGACAGCAGCAGUCAAUGGAACGACCUGAAAGUGGAAUCUGGCAAAGUUAAUCAAGAUUAUCACUUAACAAUAUAGCAAUAUUUGCCAGAUACUCUGCUGCGAAGGCUAUAGGAAAUCAUCUCAUCAAAUAGGCAUCAUAACAACACCUGGCAUAAGGUGAGUUGAAUAUCACCCGUUCCUGGGGGCAUGUCAAUGACGAGGUAGUCCAGUUCUCCCCUAUGUAGUAGUAACAAAUCAUGAAAGACUGUUAUUCAUGACAUCAAAUGUAAUCAAAGCCACAGCCAUCUCAGAAACUGUAUUGACUGAUAAAAUUGAUAUAAAGUUCAGCAUAGGGGUCUGUCAAUAAAAAAUAGUGCAGUUCUACCCUAUGUAGUGGAUAUUGCUAAUUGAACUUUCUGAUUCAUGUAGGAAACAUGUCAUACCAUUCAGUAGUAGUCAAUAGUUGAUUGAUGACCCCCGAAACCAUUGGACCUCGCAUUAUUGCACGUCCUUGCCCAGCAAACCCAAAUGAUACCAACUUAACACCCAAGUAUUCAGUUGGAAUGAUAGUUUGCUUCUCCGGAUUCUAGAAGAUCUCUUUCAAAUGUUAAAAAAUGAACAGUGAAUUGCAAAUUUUGUUGGACAAAACCUGAAAUAUUACCAUUUCAAGUAACCGGUUUUCUGGGGAGACCAUCGUUGGCAAACUGGGGCCAUAUACAUCUGAGUCGAAAAUCCCAACUCUAGCACCCAUACCAGCCAAAGUGUAUGCAAGGUUCACAGCUACUGUUGAUUUUCCUACCCAAGUCUACACAAAGAGUUUAAACUUCAGAUCUUCACAAAUUUGAGCCAAAUGUUGACCCUGGCUAAUGAUGGCUGGUUUAGUCCAAGAUACUAGCUUUAUGACUGAAAAAGGCUUGUGCCUUUUGAAUAAAGGUAGCACCUAAGUUUUCCAACAUUUUGAAUUAAAAUCUACCCUCAGGUCAAUAAAGAGAGUAGAUUAAGCUACCUUGUUGACUGAUCUUAGCACAUUGUUGCACCACACAAAUGCCCAACUCUUGAAAUGUUCUUGCAACUUCACCUUGAGGAUCAGCCACCACAUCAGGGAUUCCACUAUCUCCAGAAGCCGAUAACUGUGAAGUGAAGGAUAAUGCUAAAAAUUUAUAUUCCAAUUGCACAUUCCUAUCCAUCUUUAAGGAUACAAAGAAAUCUGAAUAUAGUGUAGAAAAGAUAAAUAAAAUAGCAUUGGUGGUUAAAUAAUAAGUGUCCAAAUAUUCUCUAUAAAGUUUUGUCAGUUAUUGGAAAAUUACAUCAAUUAAAUGAAAAUAAAAUAAUUGAAAUCAGAAAUGUAAAUGUCCUUUCUUUUGUUCAAUUACAACAAUAGCAUGCUUCCAAAUGUCAACUACCUAACGUGAAAAAUUAUUUUUGAAAGAAAACAAUGUAGUGUACAACUUACUGUGCAAAAUUUUAAUUAACUGGUCAGGUGCAAAGAAUUUGAUGAGAAAAAGUAAGAUAAUACUGCCUUGGACCGUAAGAAAGUUUUUCUCCAAUCAACAGUUCAAUGAAAAAAGCUUUUCUUCUCGUUUUAUAUUACAGUAGAAUGAGAAUAACCAAACUUUAUACAGACUGAUUAUGCUGCUUAGACCUCCAAGUUAAAUAUGAAUCUGAACAAUGAUCACAGCAUAUCGAGCAUGGAACUUACAGUUGGUCUAAUUGGAAGCUCAAAAAGAUUGGGGAUACCAAACUGCUCAACAACCUGAAGAUGUUUUUGUAGAAAUGAGACAGAAGUUCAAAUCUGCAGAAAUGUUGGACACUUACAGCAUUCUUUGACAUUGUUUUGUUACUAUUAUAAAUGAUUUAUUAUCAUUGUCCAUCUUUAUGUAGCAAAAUUUUCUGGUAGUGGCUGAAAAGUGGGACAGGCGAAACAAAACUUCGACAAGAAAGCAGUCGGAAACCUGAGAACCUGACCCUCUACCAAAUGGAUAGUAGCGUUUUCCAUCAGCAUCAAAAUGGCACAUGUUUUCAACCACAGCUACACAAGGAACCUGUUAACAUGAUAUACAAUGAAAAUGUAAACAACAGAACAUUGUCUACUGGGACAUAGCUCAGAAGACAACCCUUACUAGUACUAUCCUAAUUAAUCUGUUUGUCUUGCACUAAAUUCAUUUCACAUGACAAAAAUAUUCAAAAAUUGUCAGGAAAGCACAUUAGAGACCACAAGAAACAUGCCUUUAGCUUUGAAAACAUGCGAACUCCUUUUGCAACAUCUAUGAAUGCUAGCUUCUGAGGUGUGGUAACAAUGACAGCAGCAGUCAAUGGAACGACCUGAAAGUGGAAUCUGGCAAAGUUAAUCAAGAUUAUCACUUAACAAUAUAGCGAUAUUUGCCAGAUACUCUGCUGCGAAGGCUAUAGGAAAUCAUCUCAUCAAAUAGGCAUCAUAACAACACCUGGCAUAAGGUGAGUUGAAUAUCACCCGUUCCUGGGGGCAUGUCAAUGACGAGGUAGUCCAGUUCUCCCCUAUGUAGUAGUAACAAAUCAUGAAAGACUGUUAUUCAUGACAUCAAAUCUAAUCAAAGCCACAGCCAUCUCAGAAACUGUAUUGACUGAUAAAAUUGAUAUAAAGUUCAGCAUAGGGGUCUGUCAAUAAAAAAUAGUGCAGUUCUACCCUAUGUAGUGGAUAUUGCUAAUUGAACUUUCUGAUUCAUGUAGGAAACAUGUCAUACCAUUCAGUAGUAGUCAAUAGUUGAUUGAUGACCCCCGAAACCAUUGGACCUCGCAUUAUUGCACGUCCUUGCCCAGCAAACCCAAAUGAUACCAACUUAACACCCAAGUAUUCAGUUGGAAUGAUAGUUUGCUUCUCCGGAUUCUAGAAGAUCUCUUUCAAAUGUUAAAAAAUGAACAGUGAAUUGCAAAUUUUGUUGGACAAAACCUGAAAUAUUACCAUUUCAAGUAACCGGUUUUCUGGGGAGACCAUCGUUGGCAAACUGGGGCCAUAUACAUCUGAGUCGAAAAUCCCAACUCUAGCACCCAUACCAGCCAAAGUGUAUGCAAGGUUCACAGCUACUGUUGAUUUUCCUACCCCUCCCUUCAAUUAUAGGAAUAUUAACAUAUCAAAAGAAAGCGUUUGUCUGCUUCCAGGAAAUUAAUGAACAUUAAAUGACAUUAGAUAACAUGCAUAAAAGCAGGGCAUUAAAGGGAUAAAAGAUUUGUGAGUUUUGGUUCAUUGACCUACAGUCACAGCGAGAAGCCAAUUCGCUACAUUUCAGACUGAAAAUAUAUAUAAAUGUACGUGUGUGUGCAUGCGCAUAUGUGGUGUUAUAGCAGAACACAACACAAUAUACAGUAGGACGGGUUAGUAGUGAUGGAACUCUGCUGCCACUCCUUAAGAGCAUUGUUAUUUCUCUCCAGGCCAGGUCACCACUACAAAGUAAACCUUAUAGUUUCCCGCGUGUAACAGUGCAGGAAAAUACAAGAAUCCCCGGAUAAUAAAAGUUAUGAACUAAAUUCUCUUUUCCAUAAACAACCAGGACAAUGAGGAAAAAAAUAUCAAGAUUCAAUUCCUAAAAUGACAGAAAAUGAGAUUCACAGUGAACAGGGUAGAUGAUCAUUGCGUACUACAUGAUACUUAUUAAUCCAAAAGGAAAGGAUAAGUGGGGGGAAAAGAAAAGAAAGUGAACAACAAUAUUGGAAAGCAAACCUAGUUUUGGUAACGCAUCUCAAACUUACUUUAGAACAUCUUAUGAUGACAUAGAAUGAAAAGAGUCAUCAGGUAUUAGAGAGUUGCACC